rnacentral:rRNA from 1 species
GGCUCAGGAUGAACGCUGGCGGCGUGCCUAACACAUGCAAGUCGAACGAAGCACUUUGGUUUGAGAUUCGUCAAGAACCGGAUUUGACUUAGUGGCGGACGGGUGAGUAAUGUAUGAGCAACCUGCCUUCAGAGGGGGACAACAGUUGGAAACGACUGCUAAUACCGCAUAAUGUACAUUGAAGGCAUCUUUGAUGUACCAAAGGAGCAAUCCGCUGAAAGAUGGGCUCAUAUCUGAUUAGUUAGUUGGCAGGGUAACGGCCUACCAAGACUGCGAUCAGUAGCCGGACUGAGAGGUUGAACGGCCACAUUGGGACUGAGAUACGGCCCAGACUCCUACGGGAGGCAGCAGUGGGGAAUAUUGGGCAAUGGGCGAAAGCCUGACCCAAGCAACGCCGCGUGAAGGAAGAAGGUCUUCGGAUUGUAAACUUCUUUUAUGAGGGACGAAGGACGUGACGGUACCUCAUGAAUAAGCCACGGCUAACUACGUGCCAGCAGCAGC